UCUUUCAGACAACAACAUUGGAGACAUUGAGGUUGGAGUUUUUGAUGGUCUGCAGAAUUUAAACUAUUUGGGUCUUUCCGACAACAACAUUGGAGACAUUGAGGUUGGAGUUUUUGAUGGUCUGCAGAAUUUAUUUUUUUUGGGUCUUUCCGACAACAACAUUGGAGACAUUGAGGUUGGAGUUUUUGAUGGUCUGCAGAAUUUAUAC